rnacentral:ncRNA from 2 species
UGUAGAAGUGAGGCUUAUGUUGUGCUUUUUGAAAAAUAUCACUACACUUACCGGAGUGCACUUGUCAGUAUCGUUAAAGCUGAGCC